GCCGGUGUGGCUCAGUGGAGAGAGCAUUGGCCUUUGGAACUAAGGGUCCCGGGUUUGAUUCCAGUCAAGGGCA
rnacentral:tRNA from 1 species